rnacentral:lncRNA from 1 species
GGUGGAUGGCUGAUAGUAGUGAGUGGCCAAUGAGAAAACAACAAAAAAAUGCUUAAGAAAUAGGGGAUCCAUCCUUUUUUUAUAAUUUCUCCUGUCACUGACCGAUCAUCAGUGGCUAUAACCUCUGGAAAGGAAGAUAGGGUGGUCGGAUGACAUGACCAAGGGUGUAGCAACAAGGGAGACUGCACUGGUGGUCGGAAAAGAGGAUGAAGGCUUGGCCAAGAUAGAAAAAAAAUAGGUUAUUGGCUUUUGGUGGAUUUUCCGACAAAGUCGAUGGCCGAUAACAGUGCGUAAAGAUAGGAAGAAAGAGAGGAAGGUGAGAUCAAGGCUUUAGAUUGAUUCUGAUGAUUUUUAGCAUCGAUUUCAAACAGAAACAAGGAUGGUAGGCCAUGAUUUCAAUGAGAGAAAAGGGGGAGAA